AAUGAACGCUGGCGGCGUGGAUUAGGCAUGCAAGUCGAACGCGAAAGUUCCCUUCGGGGAGCGAGUAGAGUGGCGAAAGGGUGAGUAAUGCUUGGAUGACCUGCCCUCGAGACGGGGACAACAGUUCGAAAGGACUGCUAAUACCCGAUAGUCCGGUUUAGAUGCGUCUAGAUCGGUAAAUGGUGCUUCCGCUCGAGGAGGGGUUCAAGUCCUAUCAGCUUGUUGGUGAGGUAACGGCUCACCAAGGCGAUGACGGGUAGCCGGACUGAGAGGUUGGCCGGCCACAUGGGAACUGAGACACUGUCCUGACUCCUACGGGAGGCGUGCAGUCGA
rnacentral:rRNA from 1 species